rnacentral:rRNA from 1 species
UACGGAGGGGGCUAGCGUUGUUCGGAAUUACUGGGCGUAAAGGGCGCGUAGGCGGUGCGAUCAGUCAGGCGUGAAAGGCCCGGGCUCAACCCGGGGACUGCGCUUGAUACUGUUGCGCUGUGAGUCCGGGAGAGGAUGGCGGAAUUCCCAGUGUAGAGGUGAAAUUCGUAGAUAUUGGGAAGAACACCGGUGGCAAAGGCGGCCAUCUGGACCGGCACUGACGCUGAGGCGCGAAAGCGUGGGGAGCAAACAGG